UAAGACAGAGGGUGCAAACGUUGUUCGGAAUUACUGGGCAUAAAGAGCACGUAGGUGGUCUGCUAAGUCGUGUGUGAAAUCCCCCGGCUCAACCGGGGAAUAGCGCUCGAUACUGGCAGGCUCGAGGUCGGUAGGGGUGAGCGGAACUCCAGGUGGAGCGGUGAAAUGCGUAGAUAUCUGGAGGAACACCGGUGGCGAAAGCGGCUCACUGGAUCGAAUCUGACACUGAGGUGCGAAAGCUAGGGUAGCAAACGGGAUUAGAUACCCCGGUAGUCCUAGCCGUAAACGAUGGGCACUGGGCAGGGGGGAUACCUAUGGUCUUCUCUGCCGUAGCAAAUGUGUUAAGUGCCCCGCCUGGGGAGUACGCUCGCAAGGGUA
rnacentral:rRNA from 1 species